rnacentral:rRNA from 1 species
AUUGAACGCUGGCGGAAUGCUUUACACAUGCAAGUCGAACGGCAGCACGGGGGCAGCCCUGGUGGCGAGUGGCGAACGGGUGAGUAAUACAUCGGAACGUGCCCGGUCGUGGGGGAUAACGUAGCGAAAGUUACGCUAAUACCGCAUACGAUCUGCGGAUGAAAGCGGGGGACCUUCGAGCCUCGCGCGAUCGGAGCGGCCGAUGGCAGAUUAGGUAGUUGGUGGGGUAAAGGCCUACCAAGCCGACUAUCUGUAGCUGGUCUGAGAGGACGACCAGCCACACUGGGACUGAGACACGGCCCAGACUCCUACGGGAGGCAGCAGUGGGGAAUUUUGGACAAUGGGCGCAAGCCUGAUCCAGCCAUUCCGCGUGCAGGACGAAGGCCUUCGGGUUGUAAACUGCUUUUGUACGGAACGAAAAGGCUCUGGCUAAUACCUGGGGCUCAUGACGGUACCGUAAGAAUAAGCACCGGCUAACUACGUG